rnacentral:rRNA from 1 species
GGACUGAGACACGGCCCAGACUCCUACGGGAGGCAGCAGUGGGGAAUUUUGGACAAUGGGCGCAAGCCUGAUCCAGCAAUGCCGCGUGUGUGAAGAAGGCCUUCGGGUUGUAAAGCACUUUUGUCCGGAAAGAAAACCUNNGCCCUAAUACGGUGGGGGGAUGACGGUACCGGANGAAUAAGCACCGGCUAACUACGUGCCAGCAGCCGCGGUAAUACGUAGGGUGCAAGCGUUAAUCGGAAUUACUGGGCGUAAAGCGUGCGCAGGCGGUCCGCUAAGACAGAUGUGAAAUCCCCGGGCUUAACCUGGGAACUGCAUUUGUGACUGGCGGGCUAGAGUAUGGCAGAGGGGGGUAGAAUUCCACGUGUAGCAGUGAAAUGCGUAGAGAUGUGGAGGAAUACCGAUGGCGAAGGCAGCCCCCUGGGCCAAUACUGACGCUCAUGCACGAAAGCGUGGGGAGCAAACAGGAUUAGAUACCCUGGUAGUCCACGCCCUAAACGAUGUCAACUAGUUGUCGGGUCUUCAUUGACUUGGUAACGUAGCUAACGCGUGAAGUUGACCGCCUGGGGAGUACGGUCGCAAGAUUAAAACUCAAAGGAAUUGACGGGGACCCGCACAAGCGGUGGAUGAUGUGAUUAAUUCGAUGCAACGCGAAAAACCUUACCUACCCUUGACAUGUAUGGAAUCCUGCUGAGAGGUGGGAGUGCCCGAAAGGGAGCCAUAACACAGGUGCUGCANGGCUGUCGUCAGCUCGUGUCGUGAGAUGUUGGGUUAAGUCCCGCAACGAGCGCAACCCUUGUCCCUAGUUGCUACGCAAGAGCACUCUAGGGAGACUGCCGGUGACAAACCGGAGGAAGGUGGGGANGACGUCAAGUCCUCAUGGCCCUUAUGNGUAGGGCUUCACACGUCAUACAAUGGUCGGAACAGAGGGUCGCCAACCCG